GCCCUUGUGGCCUAAUUGGUUAAGGUGUUAUCCUCCGGAGAUAAUGAUUGCGGGUUCGAGUCCCGCCUCGGGCU
rfam:Scheffersomyces stipitis CBS 6054 chromosome 3, complete sequence.